UGUGAACAGAAUCCAGAAACAGUGCAGUCUUCUCUGGACCAAAGCUCAUUUGAAAUCGUCUGAGUCAAGGUGGAAACCUGUUCUGUGAUCAGAUGGAUGAAAAUGUGCAGCAGAGAU